CAGCAGCCACGGGAAUACGUAGGGCGCAAGCGUUAUCCGGAAUUAUUGGGCGUAAAGAGCUCGCAGGCGGUUUGUCGCGUCUGCCGUGAAAGUCCGGGGCUCAACCCCGGAUCUGCGGUGGGUACGGGCAGACUAGAGUGAUGUAGGGGAGACUGGAAUUCCUGGUGUAGCGGUGAAAUGCGCAGAUAUCAGGAGGAACACCGAUGGCGAAGGCAGGUCUCUGGGCAUUAACUGACGCUGAGGAGCGAAAGCAUGGGGAGCGAACAGGAUUAGAUACCCCGGUAGUCCCUGUCUCUUAUAC
rnacentral:rRNA from 1 species